GCGCGUGUGGCGCAGUGGUAGCGUUUUGGGCUACCACCCACAAGGCUCAGGUUCGAGUCCACCCUCGAUUU